UUUCUGUGCUUUUGGAAUAAUUAAAUUAAUAAUAACUUUCUUCAUGUGAAUUGAACUACAACACAAUACGAAGCUAAAUUUACUAUAAUUUUGGCAGCUAAUUAUAGGAACACCGAAUGAAGAGAUCAGUUUGGUUGUGGUGAGGACAUGGAAUGUUGGAGUUUGCAGAUUGCCAUACUGAUUCACUCCUGUCAUGGACUACAGCUUUCAAGUAUGGCACUUGACAGGGAUGAACUGGAUGAACUCUUUUAGAUAGCUGGGGCUGGAGAUACAUGACAACAUUUCUCAGUGCCAUGCAUCGAUGCUGAUAUGAGCUGGAGGACAUCCUCAUGUGACAUGAGUCAUCGACCUGAGCCUUCAAGUGUGGCUGUUGACAGCUGGACUAGCUGAUUCGUCUACAACUGAUGAUUUUCCAUUACUUCUGUAGCAGAUUCAUCAGAGAUUUUGUUGCAUUCUUCAUUGUGUAUCACGACCCUGCAACACAACUAGAGUUGUGUAUCACCAUUCUUCAACUCCACUGCAUUGUGUAUCAAAGCCAUGUUACGCAGCUGUAGUUGUGUAUCACGGUCUUGCAACGCAACUGCAGUUGUGCAUCACCAUUCUUCAACUCCACUGUAUUGUGUAUCAAAUCCAUAUCACGAUCUUGCAAUACAACUGCAGUUGUGUAUCACCAUUCUUCAACUCCACUGCAUUGUGUAUCAAAUCCAUGUAACGGAAACUGUAGUUGCGUAUCACGAUCUUGCAACGCUAAAAACCUUCAGCCUUAUCAAGGAAC